UACGUAGGGUGCAAGCGUUGUCCGGAAUUACUGGGCGUAAAGCGCGUGUAGGUGGUGGGACAAGUCUGCUGUGAAAGCGCCUGGCUUAACCGGGCGAGGUCGGCGGAACUGUUUCACUUGAGGACGGUAGAGGGGGGUGGAAUUCCCGGUGUAGGUGGUGAAAUGCGUAGAGAUCGGGAGGAACACCUGUGGCGAAGGCGGCCCCCUGG
rnacentral:rRNA from 1 species